UGAAUAAAUGAUAGAAACAUGUUAGUUAAAUGGUAAGGCUAGGUAAUUAAAUGUGAGAAUUAAAGAAAAUAUGGAAAAAUCAAAAUGUUGGAAAACCAAAGCAACAUACCCGGGUAUUGAACCCACCCCACUCAAGACUAUGAUACUACCCUUCUCCACCAGACCACUCAUGGUUAUUUAUUAUUUUGAUGCUACUUUAAAUAUAUAAACCAAAAUAGAUUAAACAUUAGAAUAAAAACUAAAAUAAAAAAAGUCUGUUGGACU
rnacentral:lncRNA from 1 species